UGGGGUGAAGUCGUAACAAGGUAUCCCUACGAGAACGUGGGGAUGGAUCACCUCCUUUCUACGGAG
rnacentral:rRNA from 1 species